UGUGUGUGUGUGUGUGUGUGUGUGUGUUGCUUCACAUCAUUCUUAUUAUGCCCUCCGUGAGACCUCAUGAUAUAAUGCCUAGCUCAAAUCUAAUAAUUUCGUUGUCUAGCUGUUGAUAGAUGUUAGAUUAGAUUUAACAGCUCCACCAGAUCCACAUCUAAGCCCUGUGCUGUCAUAUACACAUUCUAUCAUGGCAUUAGCUGUGUCUGUAAAGUGUAUUACCACUGAGCCACACAAGUUCAUGACUUUUAUGGCUCUUUAUUUCCUACUUCAUUAAGCAGAUAAACGAGUUAUAUAGCUGAGGAUAUCAUGUCAUCAUGGUUUAUCCUCGUGCUGUUGCUGCAUGUCUAUAAGCCCUGUAGCGGUCUGACUGACGAUGUUGACUGGAAGCCGUUCUUUCAUUCCUACUGCUAAUCACAAACUCAAAUAAAAGCCAAGACAAGAGAAAUGUCACAGGCUAAUGCAACAUGUCAGAGCUAAUUACUCUCUCUCUCUCUCUCUCUCUCUCUCUCUCUCUCUCUCUCUAUCUAUCUCUCUCUCCUAACCAUCCACUUUAUGCAGUUAUCCAAUCAUCCAAUCAUGUCGCAGCAGCACAAUGCAUAAAAGCAUGCAGAUACAGGUCAAGAGGUACACAUCACCCAAACUGGACAGUUGAAAGGUUCGAUGUGUUUCGGAUUCUGAGAUGCUUUUCCGCUCACCACGGUUGUAAAGCGUGAUUAAUAUCACUCAAUCCGAAACAAUCUGGCCAUUUUCCUCUGAUCUCUCAUAUCAACGAGGCGUUUCUAACCCUCAGAGCUGUCGCUCACGUCAUGUUUUUCGCUUUUCGCUGAACUCUCGAGACCGCUGUGUGUGAAAACCCCAGGAGAUCAGCGGUUUCUGAAAUACUCAAACCCAACCCGUCUGGUACCAAAAAACCAAGUCACACUUUAGAGAUCAGGCUUUGUCUUCAUUCUGAUGUUUGAUGUGAACGCUCACUCAAGCUCCUGACCUGUAUCUGCAUGACGUUUUUGCAUUAUGCCGUUGCCACAUGACUAGAUAGCGACACGAAUGUACAGGCGUUCCUAUUAAAGUGGACCCAUAUCGGAUUCUGGUUCAAUUCAAAAGACGCUGUGUGAAGAGAAGCUGAAGAGUUUUAUGUUGAGCGUGGUCUCACGUCGGAAAUGUAAACUCGAAGUAAAUAUCUUUAAUAUGAAGCGUUUACUGUUCGGGAUGAACCAAAAAUGGGAACGAGUACCGCAAUUGUGCAGGCUUCGCUUUAAAAAACCUUAUCUUGAUCCAACUUUACACAGCUAUCUUGUAUUUUAGAUGAGUUCCGGUCAGGUUUUAAAUCUCUACACAGCAUCGAAUCUGCCCGGUUAAAGGUUACUAAUGAUGUUUUAAUGUCACUUGACUCUGGAACUUGUGCUGUGUUGGUCUUAUUGGAUCUUAGCGCUACCUUUGAUACUAUCGACCACUGUAUUCUUUUAAAUCGCUUAGAGUCUGUGGUCGGUAUCAAGGGUCUGGCUUUGCAGUGGUUUGCGUCUUAUCUGAAAGAUAAGACUUUCGAAAGUAAACAUAAGGAAUUUCUCUUCUUCUUCCACCCCCUUAUCGUGUGGUGUUCCUCAGGGCUCCAUAUUGGGUCCUCUGUCGUUUUCCCUUUAUAUGCUUCCCCUGGGUCCUACUUUUCAUACAUAUGAUAUUUCCUUUCACUGCUAUGAUUAUGAGGCCUAGUUAGGUCCUCUCUCUCUCUCUGUUAACAAAUAUGCCAAAACUCUUGGAGUGAUCUGUGACUUACAAAGUGCUUUCUGGUUCUGCUCCAAAGUACAACAUUGAUGUUCUUCACCUUUACUCUUUGUGUUAUAAUGUUACUCAAUGUGAUGAAUUUGAAUGUUUUGUACAGCACUUUGGGUCACCUGCCGUUGUCUUUCAAAGUGCUUUAUAAAUAAAUUUGACUCGACUCGACACAUCCAAUGUUCACGUCUUCUGACGGCGAUGAUGUCGGUGUUGAUACACAGCCGAGGGUUUGGUCAGUACACACACACACACACACACACGGCCUGAUUGCUGAAUCGUCUCUCAGAUAGUUAGACAGGGAAUUACCAGCACUCCUGCACUACACAACAUCUCACUGAUCAAUAAAUCCAUGCCACUGCUGGUGAAAACAUUACAGACCUGCUACCUGAAGUUCACAGGCUUAACCCAAGACCACUAAUCCACAAAUCCACCACUGAUCCGUAAACAGCAGUUCAUUAUUCUGGAUUUAAGCUGCCGAGGUAUGAACUGAUGUCUCGUUUAUAUUUUGCCACAUCAGAUGUUGGAGGUGCUCCUACAGUACGUCCUCUAUCCUCUGACCUGCUUUUCCUAAAUUUAGGUAGUAAAUGUACAGUUUACGAAUCCCGAUGAUGUCACGGCCAUGCGUAAAGAGCAAAAUUGGCCGUGUGCUCUGAGUGGGAGGGGCAUACUCUCUCUGCCCUGUUAAUCAUUAGCCAAUCAUAGGCAUCUAUGAGCUGAUGUGUAUGUGGAAGGAGGCAGAUAGCACUUUUUCCUCUGAGUGUAUUAUUAGCGGUGGUCAUUUUGAUUCAUCCCAGUGACUCGACUCUUUUGAUCCCGUUCAGCAAAAAGAUUCGUUCAGUGAUCCUAUCUCUUAUACCUAUGCUAAAUUACAACAGUAGUUGGCACCAGUGAGUCUUUUUUUAGAUAUUAUGAGUAAGUCAGGGGCUGCAUCCGAAUAUCCCUAUUGCUAUACCGUAUAGUAGGCAAAAUGCAGUUCGUUAAAGGAGUCGUAUGUCAGAAUUCUCAGCAUCCAUAAAACAGUAGGCGAGAAAUCCCCGGAUGACGCACUGAGAUUCCGUUAGUGUGGAGCCAAUGGACAUUGCGCUAUCCCAUAAGGCAAUAGGACUGGUGCGGAAGAGCUGUCAGAAUCCAAAAUCACAUAAAGUCACAUGACAAUACCAACAUGGCGGAUAUAGUACAUCCGGAUUGUAUUCAUGCUACACACUUGUACUGACCGGUUCGUACUGUGACGAGCAGUAGGUCCGGUAACAGUACGCGAUUUCCAGCGCAGCCAUUGUUCCAAUCGCUCAAUACGUUCGUUUAUAAACAACAAGUUUUCAAGAGAUAAUAUAUUCAAAUCGACGUGUCCAAUCCACAAAGAAAAAGUCUGGUGAUUUUAUUUCCAAGAAAAACAUAUCAGUCAGUGCAGGCUAGUUUUCAGAGAGCAGCAACAAAUGAGGAUACGGUUGUAAUUUGAAGUAAGUAAGUAAAUAAAUAAAUAAAUAAAGUAGUUUUCAAUGCCACCAUAAUUUUAAGGCAGCCCUCAGCCAGUUUGACACAUCUGUGUAUAGCGGAUUAUGCUACGGAUACAACACAACAACAACAACAACACAUAAGGCUUGUCUUAGUGCUACACACGCUUCAAAUGCACUGCCCCGCCCUCUUUCUCUUUCUCUUCUUGUUGAAAGGGUGAUGAACUGAACGAACGACAGGCAUGUAUCAGAGACCCGGCACGUCCUCGUUCCUUCACCUAGUCUGUUCGUUUCCUUCACGACCGACAAGUCCACUAUUCACAAACUAGCUCCUUCAGUUUGUACUGAACCGCACGUCCCAGUACGUAUAGAAUCGGUACCGCACGAUUUAGCAUAGCCUUGGGCCAAGUGCAAUAGCUGGACUGUUAAUCAUCUCUCGCUGAGCCCAGAUUCUUCUCCAUCAAAUGUGAAAUUUGGACAAAAAUUUGGAUUUAUCAUCAAUCUUGCCUCAGGUGUUAUCACUGUUGGAUAUCUAACACGAGAAUAGGCUAGUUUGGCGUUGCUAGCCAAGUGGAGGAACAGCUAAGCUAUCAGUGUAUGGGUUUAGCUACUACAGUGCCAUGCAGAGUACAUUAUCUGUCCUUCUGCUCUGCUCAUGUCACGUUCACGUAAACUGGGACUCGUAUAGACCUUGUUUUCCUGCUCAGCAUCAGAGGAACUUCCUGUUUCAGUUUCAACCCUUUUACUGGUAAUAAUAAUAAUAAUAAUAACAAUAAUAAUUGGCAUAUAUCCAUUUUCCCCCUCACACAAACUGACUGUGUUAGCUAGCGUUUGGCAGAAUUGAGAACUCUCAGCCAAUAAGAGACGAGUAUUUCCACGUAUGGUCCAGUAAACCCCGUCUGAUUGGUCUCGCCUCCGAGUGGAGAUUUACCCAGAGCUGAAGAAAACAUCUUCAGGGCUACAGCCCCCAACGCCCAUGCCAGGUUACGCCCAGGUUACGCCCCCGACUCGGGCAAUCGGAGGACACCGCGGACCCCUGAGGAAACCCACGCAGACACGGAGAGAGCAAACUCCAGACAGACAGGAGCUCAGGAUCGCAGCACGAAGACUAUUAUUAUCAUUUUACGCACUGCAAUAUCUGCAAAGCGGUUUCGAAACCAUUGUCUGCAAGCGAUGAAUGAUUACAGACACGUCGUAGUAUCGGAUCGGCUGCGUGCCACACGGUCGAAGAUCUCGUGAUACCUUCGACACUCUCCGAGAAGGGCAUCAUGAACGAGUCCAUCGCUUUAUCGUGACAUCGGUAUCGUUAUGAUCAUAUCGCCCUGCUCUACUCUAACAUCCAUACUGCUAUAAUCAUACACUGGUGAUGUAUUGCGCAACCUGCAACACACACACACACACACACACACACACUUCACAAUAGGAAAACAAGCAGAGCAGCUGCUCUUAAAGGCAAAUCUGCGUAACUGGCCUGUAAGGCAGAGAUGACAGUUUACGCACACACACACACACACACACACACACACACACACACUCAACAUUUCAGUAUUAAAUGCAUAUUAAUGAAAAGAUCCAGCCCUGUAACACUCACCGGUGCUCAUGGUGGUGCGCGGCUCCGUCUCCACUCCGGUUACACUGCUGCAGCCGAGCUGAUCAGCUCAGAGAGCGCAUCACACACACACACACACACACACACACACACACACACACACACGCAAGGUCAAUCCAAAAAUGCACACGGAUCAGAGCAAUCCCAGUCGCGCUGGUGCGCUCCGGAGCAGUACAGGUCCUGCGGAACAGAUGAGCGCAGUGAAUGUCUGAUGGGAGUGUGUGUGUGUGUGUGUGUGUGUGUUGUUGCGCUCUGCAUGGGCGUGUGACAGCGCCGCUCUGAGCCUCUGCAUCAGCAGCAAUCACAGCUCAUGAGCGCGCAAAGCCUCGUG
ensembl:lncRNA